rnacentral:rRNA from 1 species
AUUGAACGCUGGCGGCAUGCCUUACACAUGCAAGUCGAGCGGCAGCGCGGGGGCAACCCUGGCGGCGAGCGGCGAACGGGUGAGUAAUGCAUCGGAACGUGUCCUCUUGUGGGGGAUAACCAGUCGAAAGACUGGCUAAUACCGCAUGAGAUCGCAAGAUGAAAGCAGGGGACCCGCAAGGGCCUUGCGCGAGAGGAGCGGCCGAUGCCCGAUAGCUAGUUGGUGGGGUAAAAGCCUACCAAGGCGACGAUCGGUAGCUGGUCUGAGAGGACGACCAGCCACACUGGGACUGAGACACGGCCCAGACUCCUACGGGAGGCAGCAGU